rnacentral:lncRNA from 1 species
CCGAAUUUGGAUGGCUAAGGGGGGGAGGCAGAGAGUGUUUGUCUGUUUUUUUUAUUUUUGAAGCUGAUUAGAAUGAAAUUUAGGUUUUUUUUAGUUUUUAUAGCAUUUAAAACGGCGCCGUAUUUGGACUUAGGGUUCAGAGGCCAAAACGACGUUGUUUUGGUCUCUGACCCGCGCGCGACCCGACCCGAUUGGCUCGGAUCCGCGUGUUUUAGCCUUGAGGGUUUAUUUGCGCAGGCAAUCCCUAUGUCUUUCAAGCGCACUUCAAUCCAGUCCUGUUAUUUCCUUUUAAAUUUAAUCUCCUAUUUUAUUUUUG